CGCCAUCAGGCACGGCGGCGGGGGCACCGCCGCACGGCCAUCGAUCUGGCAGCACCGGAACGGAACUGCUCUACUGCAGUGAUGUGCGGCCCACAAUCUCUUGUACAGCUCGCGUUUGGAGGCGGAGGCAAGGGGGAGGAGGCGCUCGCGGACAAGUCGAGGAACGGCCCACGGCGCGAGCGGCGGCCGGCGGCGAGACUAAG
rnacentral:rRNA from 1 species